GGACCUGGGUCACCCUGGGAUGUGGCCUUGGAUGAAGUCACUCUGCCUAGGACGCACCUAAUUCCCCAGCCACAGGCUGUGACAGUACAUGGGAACUGUCCACCAGGAAGCUCCUCAGAGGCUCAGUGCCCGGGGCUGUUAUUGGGGAGCAGUCAUGUGGCCCCCUCUGUCUGACAUGUAUCCGCAUCCCAGGUUCCCCAGAGGAAAGCAGGUGUUGCACAGAAACCACAGUGAUUGCACAAGCAGUUUAGGCUCAGCAAGCCCCACUCACUUAGGGGAUUCUGGGAGCCCUCCCGGAAUCCAGGGUCCCAGACCUUGCCAGGAGAGCCGUCUCAGGCCUGCUGCAUUAGCCCUUCCUGCAUGGCUGGAUAGUGACAGAGAGAAAGAGAGAGAAGAAGCUUAUUUAAAACUAGGAAGCAGCAGGUCGUGAGAGCCAAGAGUGCUCUUGACCUUGUUGGAACCAGGGCGCCAGAGCCGCUUCUCAUUGCUGGGAAGUUUGGGGAUGAUGACCCUGACUUUCCCUGUGGUUAUAACCUCGCUCCCUUGUUUGUUCCCCACAGCUGCACCCACCUCCGCCCUCGCCUGUGACUCAGGACCCCAGAAGCAAAAGUUCUCGCUCAAACUGGAUGCCAAGGAUGGGCGCUUGUUCAAU
rnacentral:sRNA from 1 species